rnacentral:lncRNA from 1 species
UCUAAUUAACAGAUAAUGUAGGAUUCUCACGAUCCUUGUCCUAAUAGAAUUUAUCUUAACUCCAAUAUAUAUAUCCCAAAUUUACUCCAAGCAGGAUGAAGUCUCAAAUUCUCUCAACCCUCAAUUUUUGAUGGUUAACAAAUAGUGCGGUGAGCAUAUAGCACACCUUUUUAAUGUUCUAUAAUGAUAGGACCGCGCGUACCAUCUAACCCUGAAUUAGUAUGAUAUUGUCCGCUUUGGGCCAAGCCCUCAUGGAUUUGUUUUUGGGCACCUCCCAAAAGGCCUCAUACUAAUGGGUUGGGUUUGAACCAUUAUAUUUUGGUUUCAUUUCUCCUCUUUAUCCGAUGUAGGACUUGGGAGGAUAUCCCACCAUAUAAAUACGAGCUACCUUUUACUUUUAAAAGAAUGUAUAGAUGCUAGAAAAGUUUUGGGCUUGGAGGAGAUGAGUUUGGAUUCUCAGGCAAUGGGGCUAUGUUUCCUCACAAAGAGAACCGCUAUUUGCGCCGGCUAUGAGGUAAGCGAACAUUUACUUUUCAGAUAACGAACAAUUUAAUUAAUAUUAAAACUUCAAAUGUUGGAUGUUGUGUUUCUUGCACUAGUUGAAGUAGUUUUCAAUUCGAUUUUUCUUUUUCUUUCUUCCUUGUGUUUUUUUCUUUUCCUUUUUUAUUUCUUCCAUUGUCCUCUUGUUAUAUUCAUCAGAAGCAUUAGUUUCUUCAUAGAAAAAGGAAUUACUUGAAUUAAUAUAUGCUAGCGUAUGGACACAAAUAGGCAAGAGAAACUGCAUAUUUUUGCAAGUGAAUAAUUGAAAGUUAUACAUAGAUAUAAAAGUGUACGUUUUGCGUGAUCAGUAUCCAACAUCAUAUAGUAGAUGAUAAUUCCAACUGAUGCCUUCUACGUAAACCAUUAGCUAAGUGCAAAAAUUAUAUUUUUGACUACAGGAUAGCCUUAAACUCAUUGAUCAUGCAGAGGAACAUACUUACAGAGUCACUAAUAAUAAUUCAAUUUAAACAAUAGAGGAAUAUAAAGCAACAAUCUAGAGAGUAGUGUUACCCAUGCGGUUGAAAAAAAAAAAAAAACAAAAAACUCAAACUAAAAAAUGGAUUUUAGCUAUCAUACGGUUUAAUAUUUGAUAAAGGCUAAUGUUUGACCAAAUUUGUGAAUGUUGAUAAUUUUAUGUCAUUAACCUAGUAAUCAUGGCUAAAUAGAAAAUAGAGAUAAGGAUGUUGUACUAAUAAGCUUCUAAUUGGAUUUGUUGUGCAUGCCCUAAUUAUUGAAUAGAAAUACUUUUCUUGUCUAUGUUUUAGCUAGCUGGUGAUGAACUAAUUGCUUCACUUUAUAACAUCUAAUCUACUUGCCUUUAAUAGUUUGCAAAAACAAAGUUGAACCCUCUAGCCUGUGGGCUUUACACAAUUAUAUUUCCAUAUGCAAAUAGUGAUAAUUCUCUCUCUCAAUAAUUUUUGAAUGAAAAUGCAAUUGUGACGGCUCAAACAACGUCAUUUUUAUUUUUAGAGAGGAAGACCAAUUUAUAAGUUGAUUACAUGGUAGUAUUAAAAUUGUUAUAUGAUGUGAUCAUAAAAAUAAAAAAAUUAAUGCUGAAAUCUAACCCAAAAAAAAUAUAUCCAUUUGAUUGGUUAAAAAGAAUUUAGCCAUUAUUACGACAAAUUAAAUUGAUUUUAUCAUACUUGAUUUUGAUUAUUUUAUUAUUAGGAGAAUUUAUUAUUUAUUUAUUUGGAGCCAUGCAUAUAACUAUACUAUUUAAUAAAAGCCGAGUAUAUGUCAUGUAAAAAAAAAAAAAAAAGGACAAAUUAAUUCGAUUACUAUAUAUUAUUUUUUACUUAUAGAAAUCUCUAUAUUUAAGUGUGAUAGCUACAAUAGAGUUUAUAAUAUUGAACUUAAAUAGUCCUCAAUAAACACAGACUUAAGCAGUCCUCAACAAUUUUGGACUUAAGCAAAUUUGGACUUAAGCACUCCUCAACAAAUUCAAACUUAAGUAGUCCAUCAAUUCGGGCAUAACAACUUCUCCAAUUCGAACUUAAGUGGUCCUUAAUCCAUUAGGCCGGACAUAACAACUUCUUCAAUUCGGACUUAAGCGGUCCAUGAACAGUACAUCAAACUGGACAUAACCAAUUUUCUAGUUUGGCCUUAAGCAAUCUAUAAACAGUCCAUCUGUUUGGACAUAAACAGUCCAUCAACUCGGACUCAAGCAGUCCAUGCCAAUUUAAAUGGACUUAAGAAGUUCACGCUAAUUUAAUCGUACUUAAGCAAUCUAUCUAUUCGAGCUUGAGCAACUCACUCAUAUGGACUUCAACGGUCCAUUUAUUCAAGCUUAAGUAGCUCACCUAUUCGAACUUAAGUAGUCUACCAUCCGAGCUUAAAUAGCUCACAUUUAAGCAGUCUUAAUAAAUUUAGACUUAAAGCAGUUCACGCCGGCUAAAGCAAUUCAACACUUAAAUGGACUUAAUCCAUCUAUUCGGACUUAAAGCAGUCCAUUCAUUACAGU